CCUACGGGUGGCAGCAGUGGGGAAUAUUGGGCAAUGGAGGCAACUCUGACCCAGCAACGCCGCGUGAAUGAUGAAGGUCUUCGGAUUGUAAAGUUCUUUUCUAAGGGAAGAAGAAAGUGACGGUACCUUAGGAAUAAGUCUCGGCUAACUACGUGCCAGCAGCCGCGGUAAUACGGAGGAUGCGCGCGUUAUCCGGAUUUAUUGGGUUAAAGGGGUGCGCGGGCGGAUUUUUAAGUCAGCGGUAAAGUCGUGGGGCUCAACCCCAUCCAGCCGUUGAAACUGGGGAGCUAGAGUGUGCGAGAGGUAUGCGGAAUGCGUGGUGUAGCGGUGAAAUGCGUAGAUAUCACGCAGAACCCCGGUUGCGAAGGCAGCAAACCGGUGCACAACUGACGCUCAGGCGCGAAAGCGUGGGUAUCAAACAGGAUUAGAUACCCCGGUAGUC
rnacentral:rRNA from 1 species